UGGCUCAGAGUGAACGCUGGCGGCAGGCCUAACACAUGCAAGUCGAGCGGCAGCGCGUCCGACCACCCUCGGGUGGUCGGAUGGCGGCGAGCGGCGGACGGGUGAGGAAUGCAUCGGAAUCUGCCUCGUUGUGGGGGAUAACGUAGGGAAACUUACGCUAAUACCGCAUACGACCUACGGGUGAAAGUGGGGGACCUUCGGGCCUCACGCGAUGAGAUGAGCCGAUGCCGGAUUAGCUAGUUGGCGGGGUAAAGGCCCACCAAGGCGACGAUCCGUAGCUGGUCUGAGAGGAUGAUCAGCCACACUGGAACUGAGACACGGUCCAGACUCCUACGGGAGGCAGCAGUGGGGAAUAUUGGACAAUGGGGGCAACCCUGAUCCAGCCAUGCCGCGUGUGUGAAGAAGGCCUUCGGGUUGUAAAGCACUUUUGUUGGGGAAGAAACCGGCCGGGUUAAUACCCUGGUUGAAUGACGGUACCCAAAGAAUAAGCACCGGCUAACUUCGUG
rnacentral:rRNA from 1 species